UUUCAACUUUGGUCUCAUCUCUCAAGCAAAUUGCUCGAUUUCUCGAGCUCCGGCUGGUCUGAUCUUAGAGGAAUCAAUCUAGAGGAAGCUCUGUUUUUGUUUCCGGAUCACAAAAAAAAAAUGGCGGAGAGGGUGGAAACAUCUGUUCCAGAAGGUGAAAACACGAUUGAAGAAAGAGAGGUAGGAGCUAUGUGGGAGCUAGAGCAGAAGCUUGAUCAACCCAUGGACGAAGAAGCUACUAAGAUCAACAGCAUGUACAGAGAAAAUGGCUUAUCGAUGUUGAUGCUAAUGAGGGACAUCUCUGCCAUGCUUGUCGGGUCAUCUCUUUGUGUCUCAGUUUCUUCCAUGGUCCCCGUCUCUCUCUCUCCACUGUCUCCUCUGAUCUCGUUUUUUUUUUGUUUUUCUCUCUGUCUCCUCUGAUCUCGUUUCUCUCUCUGUCUCUGUUUCUUUCGUCUUUGCCGUGAAGAAGAGAGACGAACCCUUAUUCUAAAACGCUAUUUUAUAUGUCAGAUUAGUGAGGAUGACCUGGGCAGAGCACAAAACAUUAGGGGGAGUUAUGAAGAGAUUUUAUAUGUUUGGGUGGUUUAGUCAAGAGGUUGGUAAUAGAGGGGGGAAUAGAUAGGGUCUGUAAGUUUGCAGGGGGUUUUAGGCAGCCAACCCAUUUAUCUAUCUAUCUAUAUAUAUAAAGUUGAUAAUUCUGGCUUGACAGGCAUCGACGUCAGCAAGAGAGCAGGGGGUUUUUGUGACACCUGUCACGUGACUGGGCUGCGCUUUUCAAUUUGUAUCUUUCGUUUUUACAUUCACGUAUUUAGUUUGAAAUGGGCUUUUUGCGUUUAACUAGCCCACUAGAAAUAUUCCUUUACUUAUAUAUAGCUACAUCUGAAUUAAAUCAAUCAAACAAAUAAACUUUUCCCUUUCUUGCUGGCGAUGGAAAAUUCAAAAGCUUUUUUUUUGGAUCAAAUUCAAAAGCUUAACUUCAUAAAACUCCACCUUACCCACGUUCUACAAGAUUAAAUUCCCUUUCAAUUAAUUAGCAAACAAAUUCACUAUUCUCUUCAGAAUCCCUCAAAGAUUCCAAAAACCUGCGGGGUCAAGCAACCUUCUCUCUUCUUCGUCUCUAUGUUUCUGUACCAGGGCAGAGCUUAACAGAGAAACUGAUUAUUUUUCUCUUCCCAAACUCUUCUAUGCAAGGUUUCUCGCAACAACUGCAAUCGAGAAUAAAGAGAACACUAUCUUCAAUAACGAAACCAAGCCUAAGAGGAGAAGAAACAUGGUUAGACUGUGGUGGGUUCCAACGGAAGUUACAUGAUCAUAAGUUUUCUUUAAAGAGGUUAUAUUAGAAGAUGGUUUUCUUUACGCUAGAUCAAAGUUUCCCAUUCUUGGCUACAUCGGAUGGUUUCUUUUUCAAAAGAGAGGUUACUGGGGAGGAGGAUUGAGCAGAUGUUAAGCUUUGUUUGCUGCUCUCCAGGAAUGCGGUACCGAGAGUUUUUGGAUAGCUUCAGGGAUCAUCACCAGACAGGGAAGCUGAAUCAUCUAAAGAAGGUUCUAGGCGUGAAAGGCUCUCUAUGCUUGCUAAACGAGCUGUUUAGGCUGCACAAGCAUUGCAGCAUAAGAAAGAAGUGUCAACAGGAACUACUAAGAGUUACAAGUUUAAA